rnacentral:tRNA from 1 species
GGCUCUUUGGCGCAAUGGUAGCGCGUUGGUUUUCGGUUCUAGCAUCUGCUAUGCUACUGAUUCCACCAAAGGUUGCGCGUUCGAGCCGCGUGAGAGUCG